UUAUGUAAUUGAUAAAAGCUCCACCAGUCAUUUUCUGCUGUUCAUAUGCAGCCCUCAUGGUGUCAUCUGGUCUUAAUAGGGAGUGUUUUAAUCCUGAGUCACCAUCAUCUCCCAGGCUGGUGGUCUGUCCAAGCAAGGUGACUGCGCUGUUUUCAGUCCGCGCUGACAGGAAAGACCCAGGGCUCCGAGAGACUCGUGCUUGUCAGCCGAUCGCGGACACGUGCCCGUCUCACCGUCCCGUGGUCCCACCCUCACGCGGCCUUGUUUUUCUGUUCCACGCAGGCUGGCAGACUCUUCUGGUGGUAAUGCACAGCAAUCAUGAACUCUGACUGUUCUGACAGCUGUGUUUCACAUAUUUCAACAAAGAGGCAGUCAAGUCUGGAACUUGAAAGAUCACAAAAUGGCUUUAUGAGUUAAAUGGAUACAUGAAGUGCUAUGUGGAUAUUUGCAAACGAUCUGCUGCGCCAGAGGAGUAAGGGCUCGGAAGACCAGACCCAUUCCUGCUCGGAGCUAAGAAUCUGUUAUCUGCUCAAAAUGGCUUCUCACCCUUGGACACUGCAAUGUCACAUCACGGGAAGCAGGGUACCAUGUUCACUCAGAGUCGCUCCCGGUGCUCUGGACGGCUCCUGCAGUCCGAAGUCAUUUGCUAAUUGGCAUCUCCAAAUUGUUGGUUGCAUCUGAGUAUGUGCAUGUGGCGACACACAACGAGUUCUUUGGUUUAACAUUAGUAGAGAUGAGAGAUUAAAGCCACCAGGAUCAGACCUGGUCCAGAUGAAUCAGAUCCCCCAUGCAGAUGAAGCCACGUACCAGUGACCGCAUCCCGCUAGAGAGUCUCAGUAGCGAUCCUGGACAAACAUCUUGAAAAAGCAGCCUGUGAUAUUUUUUUUUUCAAAGCCCCCGGUCACCUGCAUGUAAACAGGACCAGAAACCUCAGGCAAACCAGCAGGAGGAAACCUGUUUAAAAUGGGGGCAACAUGCAUUUCACACACAGGCAGAGCAGCUGCAGGACUGGACCCCCCACCCCUGGAUGUGUGAGGUGAAUCAGCUCCCCCACGUGCAUCGUCAUGUCCUGUAUGCACGUGUAUCCCUUUCUCAGCUGGGAAAACCGGCCCGAGUCCUUUUGGCGUAACUCCCGCGACGAGCAUGCGGCGUGACGAUCGUGAGCAGGGUCUGCUGCGCUAACGCAGCGUCUGCGGUGAAAUGUGACUGAUCACCGGACCCCUGCUGCAGAUGGAGCUUGCCGCCCCCCUCCCGGCUGCUCUGCUGAGAGGGA